rnacentral:rRNA from 1 species
UACGUAGGUGGCAAGCGUUGUCCGGAUUUACUGGGCGUAAAGAGCGCGCAGGCGGUCGAAUAAGUCGAACGUGAAAUCCCCGGGCUCAACCCGGGAACUGCGUCCGAUACUGGCUGGCUUGAAUCCGGGAGAGGGAUGCGGAAUUCCAGGUGUAGCGGUGAAAUGCAUAGAUAUCUGGAGGAACACCGGUGGCGAAGGCGGCAUCCUGGACCGGUAUUGACGCUGAGGCGCGAAAGCCAGGGGAGCAAACGGG